GACGAACGCUGGCGGCGCGCUUAACACAUGCAAGUCGAACGGAAAGGCCUGCUUUCCCUUGUGGAUUGCGGGUACUCGAGUGGCGAACGGGUGAGUAACACGUGAGUGAUCUGCCCCCAACUUGGGUAUAAGCCUGGGAAACUGGGUCUAAUUCCCGAUAGGACUGCAGGGUGGUGCCUGUGGUGGAAAACGAUUUUCUAGUGGUUGGGGAUGAGCUCGCGGUCUAUCAGCUUGUUGGUGGGGUAAUGGCCUACCAAGGCGGCGACGGGUAGCCGGCCUGAGAGGGUGGACGGCCACAUUGGGACUGGGAUACGGCCCAGAAUCCUACGGGAGGCAGCAGUGGGGAAUAUUGCACAAUGGGCGGAAGCCUGAUGCAGCGACGCAGCGUGGGGGAUGACGGCCUUCGGGUUGUAAACUCCUUUCGACCGCGAGGAAGCCACCUGGUUGGAAGGGUGGUGACGGUAGUGGUAGAAGAAGCACCGGCUAACUACGUG
rnacentral:rRNA from 1 species